GGCUAGAUUGAGUGCACUGGAAGUUGCAACUAAUUGAUUACAGUCAGUUACAGAGUUCUUUGUUCAUUCUCCACUCCCACUGCUUCACUUGACUAGUCUUAA
rnacentral:Y_RNA from 1 species